UUUUUUUUUUGAGACUGAGUCUCACUCUUGUCACCCAGGCUGGAGUGCCAUGGUGCGAUUGUGGCUCAUUGCAACUUCUGCCUCCCAAGUUCAAGUUAUUCCCCUGCCUCAGCCUCCCAAGUAGCUGGGACUACAGGUGCUCGCCACCAUGCCUGGCUAAUUUUUCUAUUUUUAGUAGAGACAGGGUUUCACCAUGUUUACCAGGCUGGCCUUGAACUCCAGACCUCAGGUGAUCCACUCGCCUUGGCCUCCCAAAGUGCUGGAAUUACAGGUGUGAGCCACUGCACCCAGCCAAUAAAGCUGAUUGUUAAAAGUAGUACGGAACGUUUGUUGCAAAGUUAAAUCUCAAGAGGCCGUGAAAAAUAUAAUUUUCUACAUAACCUUUGCUGAUAUAGUUCUACUCUGUGCUUCUUGGUAAGUGAAAAACCAAAUCUCUAAAAUCUGGGCCUUUGAAACCCUGUGCACAUAGGCCAGAAAGCCCCCUACUCAGUGUUGACCAGCCAAGUGGGUGAGAAGUCGCAAUUGCAGGAUGCUAAAGAUGACAGCAAAGCUGGUGCUAUGUGAUGAACUCAAGGGAGAGAGCUGUAAAUCAGGUGAGUGAAACGAUUAUUCAAAGGACAUAGCAUAAUUAAUGGAAACAGCAAAAUUACAUUUACAGUGUAAAAUGUAAACAUACACCUGGAAACUGACAGCUUGUAGAAAACGCAACUGUUUUUGUUGUAGACGUCUCUCUGGCUAGCCGUCAGAUUUGGAAAGCAUUCGUUUCUGACGUCAAUAUGAUUGGGUGUAGUUGGAAGGAAUCUGGUCUGGGUCUUGGGACACCCAAGUUCCAGUUCUGGCUCUCUCAUUUAUUCACCAUUCAACAAACAACUAUUAAGCCUACUGUGUGCUAGGCACUGCCGCUAGCCCUGGUGACCCAAAGUUCAACGACACACUUGUUCCUACCUAAAGGAUCGUACUGUUCAGAGAAAGACAAUUUAAAAUAUAGUUAAGUAAGUGCUGUGGCAAGGAGCAAGGUACAUCUUCCAUCUUGAGGCGUGAAGAAAGAAGGAGUAGCUGUGAGGGAAAGGUUUGCCACAACUUGAAGUUGUAUUACUUCCUUGUUAACUCUUUUUUUAAAUACAGCUUUUGUAGAGACAGGGUCCCACUACAUUACCUAGGCUGUUAUUUAACUCCUGGCCUCAAGUGAUCCUUCCAGGCCUCCCAAAGCUCUAGGAUUACAGGCAUGACCAGCGGCCACUGGCAGCCACCUUCUUAACUCUGCUGUCCCACAAGCUCGUCAGUUCCUUGAGGAAAAGGAGGCUUUUUUUAUUACAUUUUUUUUUUAUAAAGAGCUUUAUUAAGACAUCACUCACAUAGCACACAAUUCACUCAUUUAAAGUAAAUGAGUUGGUCUCUUGCUGCAGCAACGCGAGUGGGAGCACCAGGAUCAUGGGCUCGGAACCCGACUACACGGAUUGUUUUAAGAAAAUGGCAGACAAACCACACAUGGGGGAAAUCGCCAGCUUCGAUAAGGCCAAGCUGAAGAAAACGGAGACGCAGGAGAACACCCUGCCAACCAAAGAGACCAUUGAGCAGGAGAAGCGGAGUGAAAUUUCCUAAAAUCCUGGAGGAUUUCCUACCCCCGUCAUCUUCGAGACCCCAGUCGUGAUGUGGAGGAAGAGCUACCUGCAAGAGGGACACGAGCCACAAGCUGCACUGUGAACCUGGGCACUCCACGCCGAUGCCACCAGCCUGUGGGUCUCUGAAGGGACCCCCCCAAUCGGACUGCCAAAUUCUCUGGUUUGCCCUGGAAUAUUAUAGAAAAUUAUUUGUAUGAAUAAUGAAAAUAAAACACACUUCGUGGCA